GCCGCGGUGGUGGAAUGGCAGACACGAAGGCCUUAAGAGCCUUUAUCUUUACGGAUGUGGGAGUUCGACUCUCCCCCGCGGUACCA
rnacentral:tRNA from 3 species